rnacentral:lncRNA from 1 species
UUGACCAUAAACUCCCAUAAGAGGUCUUGCACCCCUUUGUCGCAACCUAUUGGCCUCCUAGCACUUGACCAAAAGUGUUUUCAUCGCAUUAGGAUAUUUAUACAUGUUUAAUUAGUGUUAUAAUCACUAAUUUUUUAUAUACAUAUGUCUUCAUAUGUAAUUAGGACCAUUGUGUGUGUCUAAAGUCUUCACUUGACACCUAGCAGUCCUACCUCGUCAGUUCAUCCGUAACACCCACAACAGGUGAGUUCAUACCCCUUAAUCAAUGUUUUAAAUAUUUUAAAAUGUUUUAUGGGGGGGAUACAAGUAGAAUCAUGCUACUUAUUAUAUCAAUCACAUGUGAUUAGUAAGCAGCAUUUAAAUGAUUUACUACUCAUUAGCCGUUUUACCAAAUAGUUUCCUUCAAAUGAUUUUCAUAAACAUUUUACAUGUUUUAAAACUCCUUAUUACACUGUACAUUUUACUCUGUAUGGUUUAUUUCAAACUUACUUACAAUUGUGUUUCAAACAAAUGUUUCUUUAUAUUAAACCGUUUUAUCAAACCCAUGCCUUUAAAAACCUUUUAUAGAUCGACAUCAAGUCGAUCGUUUCUUAGAAAAUAUUUAUGUUCAAAGGUUUUUACAAAACUUAUUUUAUUAUUUUAUAUUAUAAAUUGCAUGCCUCUAUAUGUAUGGUUAUAUAAGUAAUGUUUAAAAGACUUAGGAAGGCUAUCCACCUUGUGUCCUUUUCUUCGAUUUGGAUGUGGGCUGAUAGAAUAUCGGGUACUCAUCCGAAGGUCGUCUAAAUAUUAGUUAUAUAUCAUGUGUACAUGUAUAGACUUAAAAGGUCUUUCCAGUUCAUCCAAUGCCCCUGGGUAGCAAGGGGAUACAUCCAUGUCCAUAAGUACCAGUUAGAUUACUAGUAAGCUACUGUAUGGGUAGUUUACGAAGAUACUAGAACUAUUACUAGAAUGCAAUAUCAUACAAUGAGUCAGUUCAUUCAUGAGUCUAUACUUGCUAGAUAGAGAGCACAUACAUUACAGCUAGAACAUUACAGUAUAUUACUAUAGUUGCUAGAUAGAGAGCAUGUACAUUACAACUAGAACAGUUCAGUACAUUACAUCAAGAUAAAUAUGUUGACAAAAUUGUGAUCCUGUAUCGGAGCAUGCCUUAAAUGUUCUGGCCCAAGUUGUAGCCAGAGUCUCUUGGAGGGAGAGCGUGAGUUUGCGUAUAGAUCAAUACUAGAUUGACAAUCCUACACCUUGCUGCUAGCUACAGCCGGACCUGCAGGUCUGCGGAUGCCAAACGUCAUUUCUUUUUACGACCAUACGUAUGUCGUUGUUACCAGUCAAUAGUAUGGUGCAAUUAAUCACAUGAAACCUUAAUAUAAUUCCGGCUUAAGGUAGUUAGUACAGCAGUAGUUCUUAUAGCGCUACAUUUUAGUACUACAUUAAUUUCCCCUUCACAUAUAUUUAGUGAUCUUUUCACUUAAACUUUAAAUGUAAAAACUAUAUUUUUUAAUGAUAGUUACACUUGGGAAAAUUACCCACUUUUACAAGAAAAGAACAUUUAGAACAGUUGAGUCUUGGUAGAAGACUACAUUGAGAACAGUUAUGUCUUGGUAGAAGACACCCUUUAUAUAAUAGUAGGAAUCAUAGGGAUUUCUAGGGUUUUUCAAACGUUUACAGUUGUUUUUCAAAUAUUUUUACACUUACCGUUCAUAUACAUUUUUAAUACUUACAAAUUCUUACAUACAAAUUAAGACACUAAAAUACUUAUGAUCUCACCAGCUUUAAAGCUGAUACUCGCUUUCAAAAUUACUUGUAUCCUCAGUUCAUCAUAGACAGGUACCGAUGCAAGGAUUAGGGAAGAUGGAGCUCGUUCAAGACUCAUCUUUCAUUUUUUAUUUAUGCUUUAGUGUUUAUCAAAAUUUAAUAGAACACACUUGUAUAAUAAUUAUAUUAUUAAUGCAAUGGAUGAUGUUGUUGCUUGUUUACUACUUUUCAUUGUUGUGAUACUGUACAUGACGUCCUCCGCCCCAGAACGUUUCCGCCGUUCUUGGUUUUGGGGUGUGACAGAUUGGUAUCAGAGCAUUGUUUAUAGUGAAUUAAGUAUAUCAACCCAUAAAAGAUAUACUAACUAUAAACCCAUUGGGAUUAAAAAUACUCUGACCAAGAGUUUAUACUUUAAAUAAUAAAAUAUUUAAUAAAGUAUAUGUGCUUGCAUUCAUACUAAAAUCAGUGUCACUAGGACAGUACAAGAGAAUUACGAUUGUUGGGCAACACAAGUGGGCUUAGAGACAUAUGGUCAAAACUGGGAAGAUAUAGCCUGAUCACCUAUAUUAUCCGAGGGUUGACUAGCAUGUGCCUAAGUGUAGUUGUGUGGUUGCAACAAGUCUAAAAUCUUACCAACCCUACCACAAUGAGAACAGUAGAACAUAACAUUAAACUUAAAAUACUAUAGGAGUAUUUGGUGUUACUAUAAGUACUUCAUACUUGAGAACUAAAGCGGGAUCUUCAUUACUAAGUUGAUAGUUGCUAAGUGGAUACAAUAAGGCUAUAUGUAAUUAGGAUGUUAUAGACUGAGAAUCUGUGCAAAUUUUACUUUAACCCUAUUCUGUGUGAAUUUGGAGUUAAGAUCACCUAUUCGAAGGCCUAUCCUAUUUCGAUUACAUAUAACUGGUAUGCACUUCACAAAUAGCAAUGUAAUUGAUGAAGAUUUUUUAAAUAAUUAUCUAGAUAGUUCGUCUAAUAAUUAUUUUCUUACCCCAAUUCUCGCAUAGAUAACAUGGCUGGACUCCAUCCCCACGGCAACCCAUACCUCCCGAAUGAGGUCAUUGCUGGUUGGUUUGGAGAAGAACCAAAGAAUGAUCAUCCUAUCCCUAUGAAUAAUCACCAUGAUGAAAACCUUUCGAACGAUGCUAACUCUGAACCCGAGAUUGAGAACCUACCACAGGUAGCUCCUGUUCCAAUUCCUAACCCUCGUCCAGCUUUUCAUGGCCCGACGCCUGAGUGGGUGGAAUGCUUGGAAACAUGGAUCCAAGGACAAGAUCAACCCAUGCCAUUUAAUAGUGACCUAAGCUUCUACGACUUGAGCAAUGGGGGCUUAGCAGACAGAGUCUUGCCAAUCUUGGUCUGCAGAGUGGCCCGAAAUGAGAUUCAAGGUAGGACAGCCCUACAUCAGAUUACCGAAGUUGUCGCCGAUGCGAGAAUGCAUACCCUCCGCACCAUUUGUCUAGAAGAUGCUCGCAGGAGAUCAGAGAGAAACCAUGAAACCCUACUUCAAGCAAUAGCUGAAUCACGAGCCGAAGUCAUAGGACUCCAACUACUCCAGAGAGUGUACGAAAGACACCUACUUGAUGUAGAACGUCAACUGGCUGAACUAAGAGUUCACCUGAGGGAUGACCGUCUCCAGUAGUAGAUUCUUUACCUUACGUUCCUUUUUAGAAAGUAAUCGUUUUUUGUCUUUGCCCGAUGUGGCAUUUUUUAUGAAAUUAUCUUGUACUGUAAGUACUUUAGGUUAGGUCCUUAUGCUGUCAAGAAUUAUGUUCUCUGGAUAUGAUGUAAGACCUUUACAAGGUCAUUUUCCUGAAUCUUUACGUCAUGAAUAUCAAAGAUAUUGACAGCCGGCUAACUUCUGUGUCAUUCUUCAUUCAAGUACUCUUAUCAUACUUAUAUUAGAGUAUAUCUGAAACAUGCUUUAGUCAAGUCAUUGGACUAUAGUAAUUUAGCUUCGGAGACAUUUCUAAGUCUCCUUUAGUGGUUGGAUCCUGUAAUUCACCAACCCACGAUACCUCGGCUUGAACGACAAACGUUUUGAGACCAUUCUACAAACUCACUUCCAUUCUGUACUAGGACUGCAUCAUAGGGAUAAUCAUGUCGUCAUCCGGAAACGAUCAGUCGAGCAACGAAACCCCUAUCCUCCAUAUCGACGCCGCUACAUUACAAGUUGCAGUAGCAGCUGCUGUGACAACUUUCCUUACACACAUCAACUCAGGCAACACAAACAAGACUGAAAAAGGAGUCGAGAGUUUCGAUGGUAGUACCAACCCAGGAAACCAACAAAUGGAAAUAGUCAUGGACUUGCAAAGCCUAAAGAUCGAAAGGAAGAGACGAUAUCAUAAAGCCCUAAAGGAGUGCAAGAGAGCCCAAAUACUUGCCAUGCCACAGCCACCAGUGGCAACUCCGGCAGAACGCUUUAGGAAGCGAUUUUCAAAGUGGAGUAAUGAGGAAGGCACUCGUGUCCACAUAACACUGGCUAAACACCGCAAUCCCGUCACCAAUGCAAGUACUAGCCAGUCAUGCCACCAAUGCGGUGAGAUAGGGCACUUCAAGAAGGAUUGCCCUAUAGCAAAGAACUCUGGCACAGAUGGGAGGAUUCUCAGGAUCACAGCUGCAGGAGAGCCUACUUCGGAACCCACGUUAAUGUAAUUUAGGCGUUUCGUUGUAUCAGACUUAUAAACUAUCCGAAACUAGUGCAACUAGAGUCUUACCUUUUGCGAUAUUCUGUCUGUAUAGGGAUUCUCAUGCUACGUAUACUUGUCUUUUGUAGUAUACCUUAUUCGUAGCAAUGGUCUUGUUGUAAGUGUAAAGUAUUGUAACUCUAUUGAUGGUUGCACGGUUGUGUUUUGUCUGUAAAACGUCUUAUGUUCAAAUCUAAUGUCUUUAAGUUUCAGUAUGAUUCCGACAUUAUCAUACGACUCGAUUCAAUUUGAUCCUCACGAAAAUAGCUUCAUGCGUACGUCUCAUUAUCGGUAAAUGGCUUUUUAGCGAAACCGUCAUUUCAAAACACCGAAGUACUCAUGCAUGGUGUACCUCAUAGUUCUUUUCUCUUCUGAAGAAACCCCUGAAGUACCACUUGUGCAGUACGUCAAUUUCAAUCCAAGGAUUUAUACGAUUGAUCUAUCACUGAGGAAUGUAUACAUAAGAGUGAUAUAUAAUCAAGGUUCUACAGGUUUAGAAUUGAUGAUUCCACUUUAACUUCUUUUCGCUCGAUGGGAUGUGAGCUUAAAGAAGAAUCAGUUAUUCGACUACCUUUUCAAUCUUAAUUAUAUAAGUCUCGUACACGAGACGGUGAUUGUGAAACCAUGUAUGAAUUCUAAUAUGAACUUCAGGAUGGAGAACUGCCUAAGUAUACGAGUAAUCGCAUCGUCAUGCGAACCAACUUCGAACCUAGUAUGACUCCCGUAAACGGAUCGCCCUACAGUCUAAACACUCCGGAGAUACAAGAACAGUACAGACAACUUAGCGAACUACACAUAAAUAGAAUUAGAAGACUAUGCUUCUCACCCUGGAAAACCCCGGUCUUGUUCUUCCAGAGAUCGACGAAUUGCAUCGUAUGUGCCUCGGAUAUCGAGGACUCCAUCAAGAUUUUCCAGUAGAAAUCGUUAUCUCUGCCUCACAUAGAUAAAUUGGUUGAGUAACCGCAAGGAAAGCGUUACUUUCAAAAAUGGAUAUGAGAUCCGAAUAUCACCAGUUCAAGUGUUAAGGAAGGAUGUCCGGAACACUAUCUUCCGAAUUCGGUGCGGACACUUCGAGUCCGUAGUGAUACCCUUUGGAUACGACUAAUACACCCAUAGCUUUCAUGAGCUAAAUGGGUAGAGUACGUCUUUCUUACUUGGAUCAGUUCGUCAUUUCUCCAUGUAAUGACUUACUUAUCUACCCUCGUAGUAAGAAGGAACCUCUGGAAACAUCACCCUCGGAGAUACUUUUCACAAUGUUCUCUAAACUCGAGUUUUGGAAUUGAAGAGUGAAAAUUUCCUAAGACACACUAUUAGUGAUGUGAGAAAUUUUGAGUACUCUUUCAAUUUGUCAAAACUGUUGAGAAUUUGUUGACACCAGAGACACCGACAAACCCAUUGUCAUAGCUCGUCCAUAACUCCUCGUAAAUUACAGAAACCGUACGACUUUAACCCAGCAAGGAGUGGCCCUUGACUGGGAAGUUUAGCAAGAGAAAGAAACUUUGGAAUUAUAAGUGAGAGACCAAAUUCUUUAGGAAGUCUCACUCUGGGAACGGCUUAAUACGCUUCGUAAAGCGUGGAAAGCUAAUUCCAAGAUAGAAGGACCUUCGAGAUUCUUACCAGAAUCGGUCCUAUACCUCGCACACACUAGACCUACUCCGCGAAAUCAAUAACGUGCAUUCUACUCUUCGCGUCUCGAUUGUGAAACCAUACCUUUCCGUUAGGACUCUUGUAAGUCCACUUGUCGAGAUCCUCGCAUUCGUAUUAGAACCGUAGUGACCCUCGACCGAGAGGUCAAGCGGACGAAGCAACGUCGUCGCCCUUUAGUGAAAGUUCAUUGGAAUACCAACCAAGGACCCGAUUUCACUUAGGAGCACGAGAACCAAUCGAUUAGGAAGUUUCCUCCUUACGACUCGAUCAUUCGUACCUACUUCCUUGCCUAAAUUCUAAUUUCGGGACGAAAUUCCCUUCAACAGGGGGAUGAUGUGACAACCCGAAAUUUCCAUUCUGAACAAACCAUAUCAAGCCAANAGAACAACUAUAGUGAAAUUCAAGACUUCGGGUAUAAGUUUGACAGUUUUUCAGGAUUUACACUUAAGGAGAUAUCAAAAGAGUGGAUGCACUAGGGUUUUGUGCAACACCGUUAUUCCAAUACUCUAGGAAAUUAGAGUUCAUUCCGGGAAUAAAAAUAUUUUCUGCCAAAAAUCCUAGGACUAUAUAUAGAAAUCUGAACCAAAAUAAUUCAUUAGUUACAUUUCCAAUUAGAGAGAAGCCAUAUUCUCUCUCACAGUUCUUCGGGUUUUUAACCCAAAUUUUGAGUACUUCGAUCUAGAUAUAUUAUAUAGCUUAGAUUGUGUUUAAUAACAUCAAAAUCCAAAACCCCAAGAUUUGGGAGUUUACCGCCGAAGAACACUUGGGGAGUAAACUCCAUUUUAAAGGCCAAAAGUGCCCAAUGUCCCUUAAAGCCCUGGAACUCAAAGAAGAAGCCUCCAUUACAUGUUUAGGACACCAAAAUCAAUUAGAAACAAGAAUGAAAGUGAGUUCACGGCCAAGGAGGUUCUUGGGCUGUGAACUCCAUGUUUAAGUGCCAAAAUGCCCUAAAUGCCUUCAUUUAGCCAAGAGACUAGCAUAACACAUUACCUUGUUGUGUCUAAGACCCAAAACAAUCAAAAUACCAACACCUAGGAGUGUUCACGGCCGCAAACACAUGACCAAAUGGUUCAUGGGCCGAAAACUCAAGAUUAUGGAUGUUUUGAUGCCACAAACACUUCCUAAGGCUUAGGCUUGAAUUUAGACAUGUACCCUAAUGAGUUUAGGACUAGCUAGCACACUUAGAACACCAAGAGUAAGGUGUUGACGGCACAAAAGGUUCUAGGGCUGUGAACUCCAUAAAAUGGUGCCAUAAACUCUUCUAAAGCCAAGNCCGUGAACUCCAUAAAAUGGUGCAAAAUGGUGCCAUAAACUCUUCUAAAGCCAAGUACAAAAGCCUAGUUUAGUUCCUAGUUAAUUUAGGGACUUGAAAACCUCAAAAACAUCAAAUGGUACUCCUUACCAUGAGUUAAUGACCGUAAACUCACAGUAGAGUGGUCCCAAGGCCGUGAACUCCUAAAUAGAGUUGAAAGGAAGCCCAAACACUUGUUUAAGACUAGAAGCUCUUCACCACUUAAGUUGUAUUAAUGAUAAGCUUCAUUUUGUGACCUAAGAGAGAUUUUACGGCCAAGAGUUUACUCCCUGGGCCGUAAACUCCAACACAUAUGGUCUCUUGACCAUAAACUCCCAUAAGAGGUCUUGCACCCCUUUGUUGCAACCCAUUGGCCUCCUAGCACUUGACCAAAAGUGUUUUCCUCGCAUUAGGAUAUUUAUACAUGUUUAAUUAGUGUUAUAAUCACUAAUUGUUUAUAUACAUAUGUCCUCAUAUGUAAUUAGGACCAUUGUGUGUCUCUAAAGUCUUCACUUGACACCUAGCAGUCCUACCUCGUCAGUUCAUCCGUAACACCCACAACAGGUGAGUUCAUACCCCUUAA